rnacentral:lncRNA from 1 species
AACCAUGAGAAUAGACAAGCUCACAGGGAGGGGACUGUGCGCGAGCAGGGGGCCGCUGAAAGACGCUCUUUGUUGGAGGGAGGCAGGCCGAGCUGCGGUGAGGUCUACUUCCCUUCAGGAGAAAAGUCACCUAAUGAAUGGAUACACACUGAGCAAUUAAGAGGCCUGGCUAUACUAACUCACAGCAGAGUACGUGGAGACCCCAAGCCCCUGGGACCCUUGCGGGGGUGUUGCGCUGAGAUUUCAGGGGUCGGUGAGAUAUGUGGGGAGCUCACAGGAGUCAAGCUGCUGGAAACGCGGAGGAGGAGCUCCAAGGAAGGCACCCAAACAGACAAGGUAAAGGAAACGCAGGGCCGCACGCCUACAUGACAGGACACACGCUACCUACCCCUCCCAAAUAGUCGUAAGUAAUAAUCAUAACAAUUAAAUCCGCAAUAAUUAAGACUAGAGAAAUCAAACCUUUCUGUACUUUCAAAAUUAGAAGAUAACUGUCGGGUACUGUACUUUUUCUAUAAUUGUGCAAAAUGUGUUAAGGAAUUAAUUAUAAAACUGCAUGUACAGGCAAAGAGCACCGGGGGGCUUUGUCAGAGCCCGCUGCACAAGCACAGGCAGGUCUCUGUGCUACUCUGUGCCUCAGUUUCUCCCGCUGUGGGUGGAAUGAAUUCUAAGCUCACUUCCCUAACUACUAAAGAAUGGUAAGAUUUACCUUCCACUGGCAGUUUUCUUAAUGGUGCUUCAGUUUGAAAGGCAGCUAGGGAGCAGGUGAAAAUCUUUUUGUUAAAAAUCUAAGACCAAGAUAUACUUUGUUUUAUACAACAAUCACUAGGAAUGGUACAUAAUACAAGUAUAUAUGGUUCU